GAUACCCCUGGCAGUAACUUCCUUAGGAAGUGAGCUCACUCUCCCACAUGGAAGCCUUUUACAAAAUGAGCAGACACCAAGAGAUGCCAGCUGGGAAAUGCUGGCCUGCUGAGAAGCCUGAAGUCUAAGGAUAAGAGGCCAGUUUGGAGAGAAGCUGGUAAAGGCCCCACAGCUCGAUAAUCCACAACUUGUCUCUAUGACGUUUUGGCGAUCGUGCAGAUGAGUAAAGGGUUUUGUCACCUCCUGCCCUGUAACCUUGGGUGCCUUUAUGCUGUGCAACAUUGGUUCAGAGUCCUGACACCAGUAGCCUGCCCACAAGCACAAGGUCUCACUCUGGCUUCCACUAGAAUAAUUACAACUUGUUGGGUGAUAUGAAGAGUCCUUCCAGUCCUAAGUCUUCCCAAAUCUGCCCUCCCCAAGUUCUUAACUACCAGAAACUUGGACUUUUCCCCUCUGGUUCAUCACCCCCAAAGUCAUGGAACCAGCCCUGGACACCAGCUUACUCCACAGAGACCUGCUUGGGGUAAAAAUAAACAAAGUUUGUUGAAUAGGAAAAUCAUAGUUUCAAAGAUGAAAUAGUCAGGAAAUCAAACAUAUACAAGUAACACAGAAAAUAAAAACAAAGAUGCAGCUUCAGGCUUCACAGUUUCAAGUUAGAUGAAAUCCCCUUUCUAAUACAAGUUACCUAUUGCCUCUGAACAGUUUCCCUAGCUUAGGGGGGAAUCCAGCAUUUCAGACAGCACCUGCCAAGUGACUGUCCCUCCAUUUCUGGAUGAAGACGUCCGUUUCAAGCUUCAUUCUUAAAAAGGGGCUUUUUUCUCCCCUUCCACCAAACAUGGUGACUCACGGUUAUUCAGAGUGGGGAAGUUCUAAUCAGGAUGUUUCAAAGUUGUCUUAAUUCUAAUGGCCCAGCAUUUGUCUUUGCCUGGGUUGUAUGCUGCUAGGUGCUUGGAACAAGUUUUAUCUGGUUGCCUCCCUGCCUGAAUGCACCACAAAUUAUGAGCACAAUUUUCUGUAUACAUAAAUUCACAACCACUGUCUGUAUACAUAGCUCAUAAUGAUCAUUAAGGUUAGAACAUUACAAGAUUUCAUAAAAGACUAACAACUUAUAGCACAAUGUAUAAAUCAGUUGAUUCAACUGCUUAUUCUUUGGGGUUCAGACCCCCUAUUCUCCUUUGGGGAGUUUGGACCCCGAUUGUCUCUGGAGACUGAGGAGAGCUGAGAACUCCAGCUUAGGAAGGACUAGAAAAUCUGACUAACAAAACCCAGUUCCAAGGAGCAGAGCUGGGGAGACUCUUGGGUAAGGAGAAAGUGUGGAACUGACUAAUACAGCCUUAUUCCAAAGAGAAGAGCCUGGGAUUCCUGCUUAAGGAAGGACUAAAGUGGUUCCCUGGUCAAAGAUUCUUUUCAGGAUCAGGAAAGAAAAGUCGUCUGAAGGAAGAAGCCAGAGGCAGCUAGUUGGACUAAGCAAGCCCAAGGUGACAAAUGUCCACUGUAGAGUGAGCAUCUACUUGUGCUUAUGGUUAUCAUUAAUGAGACUGUAAACCAAAAACUGCUAAUACACCACGCAGUUACUCACUAACCACUUAAAUUUAUAACACGAACCUUUCCCCAACACUAAACUGAGAUUAAGAAAUGUAAGUCUUGUGAAGGUCUUGUGCUGUAAUUGUUUCAUUUGUUCAAGUUUCUUCUUUACAUCAGAAGCUUCUUUUGUGAGCCUCUAUAAAACCUUAACAGACAGAACUUUAAAAAAAUCUAAUAUUUUAAAAAUACACUACAAUGAGGAACUCACUGGUAGAACAACAGCAUUUCAGUUUGAAACUGCCAUUUAGUGCCUAGCGCCUAUAUUUAAUUUAACUAGGCAGUGAGCACAACAGAGAAUACAAUUUCUGUUUUUGAAGAUGGUCCAGUGUGCAUUCCACAUGGGACCAUGUGUGUGGUCUUUUCAUGGUCAGAAAACAAUGUUCUUAUGUCCUAUGUUUUUCUAUAAUAAUCUGAAAGCUGGCUGUGUACCCAUCCAAAUGCAGAACACAAGUGAUUUGUUUGAUGGACACUGAGUUUCACUGUAAUUAGCAUUGUAUAUUAUAUAUGCUAUACUCUUAAGAUAGUAAUAUACUGUAACAGAAGAAUUGCAAAUGCUCUGCAAGUUUGCUUCUAAUGUGCACCUGUCAACAUCAAUAGAUAACACUGCCCCGUGGUUUUAUUCUGAUUUAGAGAAAAUGUAGCAUUUGUAAUACUUUCCAGUUUUAAUAUUUAUGAUUAUGGUUUUGAUAAAUCAAAAUAGCUUAUUAACUCUCUCUUUGUUUUAAAUUGUGCAUAAAAUAAGCAUAGGAAAACUAAGAAGGAUUUUCUGUGCUACUGAAGUGGAAGGAAACACAACAUAAAUGGAAAAGAAGAAUUUAAAGAACUGUUCAUCAGCCAGUCAGUCACCAGCAGAAUAUUCCUUCAUUUGAAUCCAGUUGUCAUAAGUCUUCCAGAAUUUUCAAAUGAGCAGAACUGGAGGAUUCAGGAACUGGAAUAGUCAAGACACAGACUGACACUGUAAAGGAAACUGAGGAAGCUCUCAUGAAGCGGGGAAUUGGAAGAAUAUUAAAUGAUUUGGUUUCAA